rnacentral:rRNA from 1 species
GUACACGCUGUGACUAGCAUAUCAAUAAGCGGAGGAAAAGAAACUAACAAGGAUUCCCCUAGUAACGGCGAGUGAAGCGGGAAGAGCUCAAAUUUGAAAUCUUAAAGGGUUUCCCUUUACGAAUUGUAGUUUAAGGAAGUGUUUUCUGUUGAGGUUUUGGUAAAAGUUCUUUGGAAUAGGACAUCAUAGAGGGUGAGAAUCCCGUAUUUGACCUUUACUUUCAACUUUGUGAUACACUUUCAAAGAGUCGGAUUGUUUGGGAAUGCAGUCCAAAAUGGGUGGUAAAUUUCAUCUAAAGCUAAAUAUUGGCGAGAGACCGAUAGCGAACAAGUACCGUGAGGGAAAGAUGAAAAGAACUUUGAAAAGAGAGUUAAACAGUACGUGAAAUUGUCAAAAGGGAAGCGUUUGACACCAGUGUUGUUUUUCUGAAAAUCAAUUAAAGAACUGUUUAUGCUAAGUUGUUUAGACUGUAUCAGCUAACUGUUUAGUCUUGAGCUUUUCUUUAAUGCACUUUUCAGUUAACAAGUCAACAUCAAUUUCUUUUGCUGUAAAAAAGCUUGAGGAAGGUGGCUUGAGAUUCGUCUUAAGUGUUUAUAGCCUCUUGCCUAUGCAGUCGGAGAGAUUGAGGUCUGCAGCGUAGAUCCUUCGGGGCUAAAUGCAUUUGUGCUAAGUUAUAGCAUUUUAUAGACAACUUGUUGACUAUGAUUUGUCUUGUAGCUUACUCGCUUAUGUUAUUUUACCUACGCUUAGGAUGUUGAAGUCAUCGUAUCGCGC